rnacentral:tRNA from 1 species
AGGGGUAUAGCUCAGCGGUAGAGCGCGUGCUUGGCAUGCACAAGGUCCUGGGUUCAAUCCCCAAUGCCUCUG